GGACUACCGGGGUAUCUAAUCCUGUUUGAUCCCCGCACUUUCGAGUCUCAGUGUCAAUGUUGGGCCAGAUCGCCGCCUUCGCCACCGGUGUUCCUCCAGAUAUCUACGUAUUUCACCACUACACCUGGAAUUCCACGAUCCUCUCCCACAUUCAAGCUUCGCAGUAUCAAAAGCACUUCCAAGGUUAAGCCUUGGGCUUUCACUCCUGACUUACAAAGCCACCUACACUCGCUUUACGCCCAAUGAUUCCGAGCAACGCUUGGACCCCUCGUCUUACCGCGGCGGCUGGCAC
rnacentral:rRNA from 1 species